rnacentral:rRNA from 1 species
CCCGCUGAACUUAAGCAUAUCAAUAAGCGGAGGAAAAGAAACUAACAAGGAUUCCCCUAGUAACUGCGAGUGAAGCGGGAAGAGCUCAAAUUUGAAAUCUGGCGGUCCCUUGGGCUGUCCGAGUUGUAAUCUAGAGAAGUGUUACCUGUGCUGGACCGUGUACAAGUCUCCUGGAAUGGAGCAUCACAGAGGGUGAGAAUCCCGUCUUUGACACGGACUGCCUGUGCGAUAUGGUGCGCUCUCGAAGAGUCGAGUUGUUUGGGAAUGCAGCUCAAAAUGGGUGGUAAAUCUCUUCUAAAGCUAAAUACCGGCCAGAGACCGAUAGCGCACAAGUAGAGUGAUCGAAAGAUGAAAAGCACCUUGAAAAGGGGGUUAAAGAGUACGUGAAAUUGUUGAAAGGGAAGCGCUCGUAACCAGACCUGGGCCAGGCGGCUCAUCCGGCGUUCUUCGCUGGUGCACUCCGCCCGGCACAGGCCAGCAUCGGUUCUAGCAGGGGGGGAUAAGGGCUCGGGGAAUGUGGCUCCCUCCAGGGAGUGUUAUAGCCCCGCUGCACGAUGCCCUCGCAGGGACCGAGGUUCGCGCUCCGCAAGGAUGCUGGCGUAAUGGUUACUAGCGACCCGUCUUGAAACACGG